rnacentral:lncRNA from 1 species
CCAACCCAGCCAAGGUCACAGCAAUGUAGUUUCUACCGGCAGAGUCUGGCAAAGUCUCCACAAAGACCUGGUAGCAAGACCGGCAGCCGCCGGGGAUUACCCGGCAGGAAAGGACCACCUGGCGAAGCAGACCCCGCGCCAGUAGGGCCCGCCUCCUCCCACAACCUAAGUCUCAGGAGUCCUGGAAGCCGCUCCCCCACAGCUAACCCGCUCCUCCAGUCCACACUCUGCCCUGCAGCCCAGCUGAGCGGAUCCCUUGGGCCCAGCUCAUCUCCGUGCCCGUGGCUGAUGGGGGAACUGGCUCUGAUCCGUGCUGUGGCCCAUUCCGUGGUUCCUGGGUCAGGGCCCGGGCCAAGGGUUCUGGCAAAUGCAGGGAUUUAUCAGACAUGAAUGGGCCCUCCAAGGUCCCUGCCCUGGCCCAGUCGCUGGGAUUCUAGAGCUGAAUAAACCCCGUGGCCUCCAGCAGGAGGGAGCGGCCCUCAGUGACAGCCGCGCGGUCAGAGGGGAGCUGGGGCACGGUGUCGCGGGGCUUCCCUGUGUUACAAGAAACAGCUGCACAGCCCAGGUGUCCUGUGGGCUUCCACGAGGACUGGGACACAUGGGAUCCGCGUCGGAGGCCAAGGCGGCUCCCGGGACCGCCACUCCCACCUUUCCCACCCUGGCUCCGCGCUGUGCUCCUCUGGCUCCUGGCCAGCCUGCUUUGCUCUCUCCUGUCCCACAGAACUGGCAGUUUUGUUCCUGGGGACGCCUUGGCUUCCAAGCUGGACCCAAAGAUCUCUGCCUAAGAGGCAGCUACUCCCUUUGCCGGCUUGGAGCAGUGGCCGCCCCCCUCUGUGGCCCUGCUGGAUUCGGAGCCAUGGGUCCCCUCACAGUUCAGAUACCCCAAGCCGGUCUGAUGAGGCCCCCUCUGCACACAACAGAAAGAGCUCCCCUUCCUCCUGUCAACAGGGAGAGAGGGUUCAGCUGAGCCAGGACGGUGUCUAGCCGACCCCGGUUCCUAGACCGUCCCCCUUGCUAGCACCCGCCUUCUCUGAUCGCCGAGACCUUGCCGGUUUACUGUGUUCGGGGCACAAAGCCCAGAGCCUCGCACAUCAGAGGCGCUCAGAAAACACUGAACAGAUAAGUCAGCACAAACGGAGGAAUGUCUUCCCAGCGCUGUCCCUUCUUCUCCACCAGGGGACCCCAAAGGACCUACCAGGUACCUAGCGACACCCACCCUCUGGCCAGGGUUGAUGGGUCCAGAGGAGGACACUGGCUCAAGCCCAGGCCGAGGAAUGUCCUUCCCUGACAAUUGUCUGGCAACAACUCAGGAAGUGGGGUGCGCUCUCCUGGGGGCACAGGACGGCUCUUACACGUGGGGGCACAGGGCAGCUGGUCGCUACGCAGGGAGAGAGAACGCACUGGGGACACGCAGAUGACAGAGGGCCUUGGGCCUCCCCACCCCGGCCGGGCUGCGCUCGCGUCCCCUGCAGGCUGUUGUCCAGCACUUGCUUUGAACGAGGUGCCGCUGCAUCCCUCCAAUAAAUCCCCCAUUGACUUAAACAUAGUAGCAUUAAGAAAAGUAAACUAGUAUAAAGAAAACAAAAUGUCCCGUAACACAAUACCCAGGAAGAUGCGUCUGACAAUAAAAAGAUCAAUGCAUGCUGUCCUUUAGAUGUAGGGAUGGCAGACAUGCUACACGGAUCCUCCCUCUCCCUCCACCUCGGGCCUGGAGACCCCUCCCCAGGCUGCCUGGCCAGCAGUGCCCUCCAUCCGCCCCCAUCAGCACCGGCCAGACCUGCCCAGGCAGCGGCUUCCCUGCCAUCCCCAGGGCUUAGCGGGCAGCUUGGCAGACGGCAGAUCUUGAAUAGAAGUAGAGAAUGCAGGGGCGCCUGGGUGGCACAGCGGUUAAGCGUCUGCCUUCGGCUCAGGGCGUGAUCCCGGCGUUGUGGGAUCGAGCCCCACAUCAGGCUCCUCCGCUAUGAGCCUGCUUCUUCCUCUCCCACUCCCCCUGCUUGUGUUCCCUCUCUCGCUGGCUGUCUCUAUCCCUGUCGAAUAAAUAAAUAAAAUCUUAAAAAAAAAAAAAAGAAGUAGAGAAUGCAUUAAAUCACCAUUCCGCUCUCGCCCAGGUAUGAACCAUUUGGUCACAGGAUACAGCAUUCUCCUGCCCUCUAGGACCAAGGAGGGACAUCACUGGGAGGGGUUCACAGCCUAGUGGCAUUGAGAGCAAAGUGCGAAGGACUCAGGGAGACAGUGGAAUGCAGGAAACUAAAAAGGCACAAAGCGGGGGCCUACGAAAUGGAAAGGGAAGGUCUGAAAUAGAAGGGUGAAUGAAAGGCCUCGAGGUCAAGUGAGGCCGACCUAAAACCCGAGAGGGGGUGCCGCCCCACCUGACAGGUGCCUUCUGUUAAAAGUGUAUCUUACGUACAGUAUGUACAGAAAACAUUUGUACAGUUACCAGAUAAUAAACACGUGCCCACCACCCAGGCCAAGAAAUCGGCUCUUCCCGUCCCCGGAACCCUCUCUGCGCCCCCCCCCCCCCCGGGUUCCCCCCCCCCCCCCCNNNNNNNNNNNNNNNNNNNNNNNNNNNNNNNNNNNNNNNNNNNNNNNNNNNNNNNNNNNNNNNNNNNNNNNNNNNNNNNNNNNNCCCCCCCCCCAGGCCAAGAAAUCGGCCCUUCCCGUCCCCGGAACCCCCUCUGCGCCCCCCCCCCCAUGGAUCCCCCGCCCCCAACCCUGCUCAGCGGUAACCGUCAUCCCGAAACUGCAAUUCCAUUUUCCUUCCGGUCAUGACAACCCACCCGUUCCGAUGUUUGAACAUUUGUAAUGGAAUAAUGUGUCUCUUCAAAAAAAAAAUAAAAAUAAAAAAUAAAAGUAACACAUGCUACCACUAGAAACACAGAAAAAUCCAGACAGACAUAAUGAAACUCUAACCUUUCUUGUUGAAUCGCUGGGUCGCACACCGGAAAGGAAUGUGACACUGCGUGCCAACUAGACCCAAAAACCAAAAAUCACAUCACUCCUUUCUACCCAGCCCCUCUCCCCAAAGAUUAACAGCUUCUGUUAAAUAUGCAUCUGUUUUUUUUUCUUUUUUAAGAUUUUAUUUAUUUGAGACAGAGAGAGGGAGGGUGAGCAUGAGAGCGAGCAGAGCAGGAGAGAGCAGAGGCAGAGGGAGAAGGAGAAGCAGGCUCCCCGCUGAGCAGGGGCAGAUGCGGCCUCGAUCCCAGGACUCUGGGAUCCCGACCCCAGCCGAAGGCAGACGCCGCACCGACUGAGCCACCCCGGCGCCCCGGAUGUAUAUCUUUCCAGAGCGAAGUCCGGCACGUGUGUGCGCGUACACACGGAUACAGAAGCGAGCGCUCAUUUACUUCCUGCAACUUCUCCCCUGGCGGGAGGUGGGGCGCGGCCCUGCCCCCCGGGGCCCUCACUCUCGCAGCUGCCACCCCGAUGCUUCUUCGUGGUACGCAUGCGCCCCAGGCAAGCGCUCCCGACCCGACGGGCGGACGCUGAAGGUACGCACCGUUCGGGGCUCUGCGAUCGCCUGCUCCGCGGCCGUGAACGUAUUUAUGCAUUUCCCUUUGCUCUACUUUUUGCAAAUGUAUCCAGAGGGCAAAUUCCUAGCAGGGAAACGACUGAGACAAAAAGUUCAUGCGUUAAAAAAACAAAACCAAAAAAACGCUGGUGCCUUUUGCCCAACUGUUCUCCAGAAACAGCACGUGCCCGCUUCCAGCAUUCAGGCCACAGGAGUACGAGAACGCUUGUCCCGCUCGCGCCCUCCCCAGGAUAGAAUAGCUUCAAGCUCGAGAAUCUUUGCCAACUCAGCAGGUGACAGCUGCUGUCUCGUUAUUUGGAUUUCCCCACGCUGAUGAAGAGGGUCGAGCUGUUUUUGUGCCAGUAUAAGAGAAUCUGAAGAUAAAAUAGUACAUUAAUACAGAAUAUAAGCCUUAAUCAGACAAACCCCAUUGGGACAACUAGAAAACCCAUCGUCAAAAUAACUACCAGGCCCUCAGCUCACGACCGCCGCUCGGUGGGCCAGACAAUCUGAACAUAAAACGGAAUCAAGAAAGUCCUACAGCAAAGCCAGCACCAGCGUAUUCCUUAUCUCAGAGGGAAGAAGGCCUUGCUUCCCUCCCCUGCAGCCCCAAACCAGAGACCGUAGAGAGAAAGAACUGCAGGGUAUUUCUGUGGGUCCAAACCAUAAACCCAAGGGAAGCAAAUGACAAACAGGGAGCCACCGGCUCAUCUCCUGUCACUGAAAACCAUCCAAGGCUCACAAGGUGGUGGGGCCUCCCCUCUAAGGGCACUGAUGGUGAGCGGGGAGAGGCACCUGAGUGGGGGAUGGAGAGGGCGGUGGUCCUGGUGUUGGAGGGAACGCAGACCAGAGCAGGAGGGCGGCUGGUUCCUCGGGAGACAGAUGAAAACGGUGAAGACUCAUAAUAAAAAUCUUCCAACAGGGAGGAGCAGAAAUGAGAGCGACAAAGAUGGGAGAGGUAGAGAGGAGAGGGAAAGCAGAGGAGGGGGCCUCUGGGGUGGCUGAUACAGCCAGGGGUCCCCCGGGCCCAGGAGGAUGCCCGCACCCUCCCCAGAACGUGACCUCUUUACUCUUGUGGCUACAGGAGAAAACAAAAGUCUUUGGGACUCACAGGGCAGGAGAGGAGGACUCCACUCUGACUGCCCGAUUCCAGGUCUCCUGUAACGUCUCCUCUGAGAACAGAGGAAGAAGGCGGAAGGCAGGUUUCAGCAGCAGCCGAGCAUGGACGGUGCAUUCCAGGGAACAUUCUAGAACGUCGUGGGCUUGGCUCCAGCAGAGUAGGCCGUCCGCACAGAUCUUGCUGAUGAUUCCGAAAACCCAGGAGAACAUGCUUCAGGGUCCGAGCAGAACCACCGCUAGGAACUCCGUCCACAGCCCCAAGACGGGCGGUCCUCACAGAGAAAGGGCGCGAGAAGCCGAGAUGCACUCCAGCGAGUCCGGCUCCUGAGCUCUAACCUACCAGGCCGCCCCUGCCGUGAGCACCCGGCGUCUAAAGCACUCCUGUUGGGAGGAAGGGGAGCUUCCGUCGUAUUCCAAAACGAGGAAAACAAGACCUCCUGCUUCAGUGAGCCUGGAGGACACGCUCAGAGCACAGAGCCGGGUGACGUUCGCUCAGAGGCUCCGUGAAAGCAUUGCGGCGACGUUUGCUCUCCGACGCCACGGCUCGGGGUCUGACGGUCUUGUCCGUUUCAGUAAAGGAUGACGGCUGUGAAAGAUACAAAACAGACCCAAUUCCUGCUUUCCUUCCGUGUGGGCGUCCUCGCCUUCCCCUCCUUACGGUUACGGGCACACGCUUCUAACACACAGGCCAUGUUUUUGCGAAGGCUUUUGACGGUGACAGCUGCCGUGAUCUUCCUGCCCGGCCGUAUUUUCCUUCCAAAAGUCCCCUCGGUCCUGUGAUGAGAUCAUGAAAAAGACCCUUCCUUUGAUAUUCUUUUUAGAAGAGAACUAGUCAUCACCAGCGUUUCUCCUGCCAGCACUCGACUCCACGUCAGCGAUGGCAAAACAGCGGGCAUAUGGUUGACGUGAAGGAUUCAGUUCUACUCUGGGGGCACCUGGGGGGCUCUGCCAGUGAUGCGUCUGCCUUCGGCUCAGGUCAUGAUCCCAGGAUCCUGGGGGCGAGUCCUGCAUCGGGCUCCCUGCUCAGCAGCGAGCUUGUCCCUCUCCCUCUGCUC